rnacentral:rRNA from 1 species
UACGUAGGGUGCGAGCGUUAAUCGGAAUUACUGGGCGUAAAGCGUGCGCAGGCGGUUCGUUGUGUCUGUCGUGAAAGCCCCGGGCUUAACCUGGGAACUGCGAUGGAAACUAGCGAGCUGGAGUGUGGCAGAGGGGGGUGGAAUUCCGCGUGUAGCAGUGAAAUGCGUAGAGAUGCGGAGGAACACCGAUGGCGAAGGCAGCCCCCUGGGCUAACACUGACGCUCAGGCACGAAAGCGUGGGGAGCAAACAGG